GCGGAUACCCACGCGGAGCCGCACCGCUUAAAGCGGCCCCGCCCCAGUGCCGC
rnacentral:ncRNA from 1 species